rnacentral:tmRNA from 1 species
GGGGUAGCACCGGUUUCGAUUGCAGGUGCGCGGAAGGGGAAGCACGCCGAGGAACGAGUGGCCUCGUUAAAACAUUCGGCCUAAAUUUAAAUGCAGAUAAUGCAAAUUACAACACGAACGCACAGUUCGCGUACGCUGCUUAAUUAACGCAGCUCGUCCGUUCCUUUUUCCCGUCGGAAGGAAACGGGCGUCAAUUCAGGCGGGGAACGGCUGACCUGACGUGAAGUCGGCAGGGCGGCGGCAUUCAGAUUUCUGCGAAAAGACUGCUUCGGUCGCAGAGAGGUCUUUUUUAAGUUAAAUGCGGCAUAAGCGUGUAGAAACCCCUUUGGCAAUCUUGUAAGACGCGAGUUCAACUCUCGCCUACUCCACCA